AAUCAGCCAUAACAUGCACAAUACAAGAGAACACACAAGCACUAGUAUCGGCAGCAGCUAAGGCAGAAAUCACAGUGUUUUCUGUAUUAAUUCAGGAAAAUAAUUCUAACCUGCAAGUAUACAAAGUAGCUUCAGAAGGUUGUCGGGCUGCCCCCGCUGCUGUCAAGUGGUUGCAGAUCGAAGAUGCAGGCCUUUAUGUAGCUUGUUCGUCCACCUGGUGGGCGUGACGUCACUGGCAGUCACACGUAGUCACUGCAGGUGAGCCUUGCACUUGCUGAUAUCACAGCGUGCCGUAAGCAGCUGUUGAAACAGUGGUCCAAGCUGCAAAUAUACAAAGUAGCUUCAGAAGGUUGUCGGGCUGCCCCCGCUGCUGCCAAGUGGUUGCAGAUCGAAGAUGCAGGCCUUUAUGUAGCUUGUUCGUCCACCUGGUGGGCGUGACGUCACUGGCAGUCACACGUAGUCACUGCAGGUGAGCCUUGCACUUGCUGAUAUCACAGCGUGCCGUAAGCAGCUGUUGAAACAGUGGUCCAAGCUGCAAAUAUACAAAGUAGCUUCAGAAGGUUGUCGGGCUGCCCCCGCUGCUGCCAAGUGGUUGCAGAUCGAAGAUGCAGGCCUUUAUGUAGCUUGUUCGUCCACCUGGUGGG